rnacentral:rRNA from 1 species
GAAGUCAGAAUUGCUAGUAAUGGCAGGUCAGCAUACUGCCGUGAAUACGUUCCCGGGCCUUGUACACACCGCCCGUCACACCAUGAGAGUUGGGAAUACCCGAAGCCUGUGAGCCAACAAACGAGGCAGCAGUCGAAGGUAGAAUCAAUGAUUGGGGUGAAGUCGUAACAAGGUACC